AGGAUGAACGCUGGCGGCGUGCCUAAUACAUGCAAGUCGAGCGGUAAGGCCCCUUCGGGGGUACACGAGCGGCGGACGGCUGAGUAACACGUAGGAACGUACCCCAAAGUGAGGGAUAAGCACCAGAAAUGGUGUCUAAUACCGCAUGUGCUCUUCGGAGGAAAGCUUCGGCGCUUUGGGAACGGCCUGCGCAUGAUUAGCUUGUUGGUGAGGUAAUGGCUCACCAAGGCGACGAUCAUUAGCUGGUCUGAGAGGAUGAUCAGCCAGACUGGGACUGAGAACGGCCCAGACUCCUACGGGAGGCAGCAGUAGGGAAUUUUCCACAAUGGGCGAAAGCCUGAUGGAGCAACGCCGCGUGCAGGAUGAAUGCCUUCGGGUUGUAAACUGCUUUUAUAUGUGACGAAUAUGACGGUAGCAUAUGAAUAAGGAUCGGCUAACUCCGUGCCAGCAGCCGCGU
rnacentral:rRNA from 1 species